GUCGAGAAUAAUUCACAAUGGACGAAAGUCUGAUGGUGCAACGCCGCGUGGAGGAUGACGGUCUUCGGAUUGUAAACUCCUGUCAUCCGGGAGUAAGACCUGGCUGUGAAUAGCAGACAGGGUUGAUAGUACCGGAAGAGGAAGGGACGGCUAACUUCGUGCCAGCAGCCGCGGUAAUACGAAGGUCCCGAGCGUUGUUCGGAAUCACUGGACGUAAAGGGAGCGUAGGCGGCGUGGUAAGUCAGAUGUGAAAUCCCGGGGCUCAACCCCGGAACUGCAUCCGAUACUGCCGUGCUAGAGGAUUGGAGAGGUAGCUGGAAUUCUUGGUGUAGCAGUGAAAUGCGUGGAGAUCAAGAGGAACACUCGUGGCGAAAGCGAGCUACUGGACAAUAUCUGACGCUGAGGCUCGAAGGCCAGGGUAGCGAAAGGGAUUAGAAACCCCGGUAGUCC
rnacentral:rRNA from 1 species